rnacentral:tRNA from 1 species
UCAUAAAUGCUUAAAAUAUUUAAAGCGUCUGCCUGCAAUGCAGGAGACCUGGGUUCGAUCCCUGGGUUGGGAA